AUUGAACGCUGGCGGCAGGCCUAACACAUGCAAGUCGAGCGAGCGGCGGACGGGUGAGUAAUGUAUGGGCACUGCCUGACAUAGGCAGAUAACUACUGGAACAGGUGGCUAAUACCGCAUACUACCCGAUAACCCAGAGGGGAUUAGCUAGUAGGUGGGGUAAAGGCUCACCUAGGCGACGAUCGCUAGCCGGUCUGAGAGGCUGAUCAGCCACACUGGGACUGAGACAAGGCCCAGACUCCUACGGAGGCAGCAGUGGGGAAGAUUGCACAAUGGGCGCAAGUCUGAUGCAGCCAUGCCGCGUGUAUGAAGAAGGUCUUAGGGUUGUAAAGUACUUUCAGUGGGGAGGCGUUAUCUGCCGAAGAAGCACCGGCUAACUCCGUGCCAGCCGCCGCGGUAAUAC
rnacentral:rRNA from 1 species